GUAUCCCACCACUGCCACCA
rnacentral:misc_RNA from 1 species